rnacentral:rRNA from 1 species
UUAGGAAUUUUGGGCAAUGGGCGCAAGCCUGACCCAGCAACGCCGCGUGGGUGACGAAGGCCUUCGGGUUGUAAAGCCCUUUUCUGAGGGAAGAUAGUGACGGUACCUCAGGAAUAAGCACCGGCUAACUACGUGCCAGCAGCCGCGGUAAUACGUAGGGUGCAAGCGUUGCCCGGAUUUAUUGGGCGUAAAGGGCGCGCAGGCGGCUCGGCACGUCCGUUGUGAAAUCGCCCGGCUCAACUGGGCGGGGUCAGCGGAUACGGCCGAGCUGGAGCAAGCUAGGGGGCAAUGGAAUUCCCGGUGUAGUGGUGGAAUGCGUAGAUAUCGGGAGGAACACCAGUGGCGAAGGCGGUUGCCUGGAGCUUUGCUGACGCUGAGGCGCGAAAGCGUGGGGAGCGAUCCG